UGUCUCUCUCGCUUCUCUGUGUAGGUUUCAAUACGGUCCAUCCCCCUGCUGGUCCCCGUCGUUGUUGGGGGGGGGCUUAGCCCCCGUCCUCGUUUUUACUGACUGGUUACAUUGCCAUAAUGGAGCGUCCCAUAAUAGCAGCAGCGCUGUGCUGUCCAAAUAUGUAUUAGGAGCCUAACUUCAGACACCUAGGAGCCAAAAGCCCAGAGAUGAAUGACACCGAAACACAAAACGGACAGCGUGUCAACUCAGUCUGUCUCAGCUUCAGCGGGAAGGAUCCAGACCUUCUGUUGUGAUGUUGGAAGCUCACAGGAGGAACUCAGAUAUGCUGUUACUCAGUCUUGUUUCACUACUGCACUGAUGCAGGGGAGAUGGAAGAAGUACAGAGGCCAGCAGACAGGUGAGUAGCUAGAUGCAUAUGGUGAUGGUGUGGCUGAGUUGUCUAUAAGCUUGCCCCUCAAAACACUGCCCGGAGUCAGAUGGGGUCUAGUCUCUGACUCCCUGUUUGUGAAGAGGGGUGACUCAAAGUCUCAUCUGGAUGAGGGAGAUCACAGAGAACUCCGAGGGAGGAAUUGUCCUUGAGGUGCAUAUUUCUUCAGUCUUUAUGCUGGAAAUUUGCACUGAGAAAGCUGUCCAGAGUUAGGGAGGGGUGGCAUUUGUAAACUUAGAUAAAAUACUGUUUUUGUAAAAAUCAGUCAAGCCCUGGGAAGUGGGUCAUUCUUGAUUUUCAAGGACAUAUAGCCACACUAUUCAAGGAGCUGUUUAGUUUCAGAGUAGGAGUGGAUGGCAUGCUUGUAGCACAGGAACAAAGUGGUGUCUGCAGUGAAGUGUUUGCAGUUCGUGUUCAUGACAUGAAUAAGUCUGUUUUCGAAGUCUUUGAUUCUACCCUUGAACAUCUAACCUGAAAUCAUUAUGUGCAAUUAUGGGUUGUACCAUGUCACCUUCUAAAAUCAAGGUCCUGAGUUCUUACAGAGCAGAAUAGAUGAAUAGUGAUUUGCUGCAAGUCACUUAACUUCUUUAAUUUCUGUAAAUGGAAAUGAUAAAACCUAUGAUAGUGAUGUAUGGAUGGAAAGCACAUAAAGCUGUUAAGCAUUGUGAAUACUUAUUAUCUUUGUUUCUGCACUCUCAGCUUUGUAGAAUACCUUCUGUUUGGUGUUGAGAAGUGCCAUAAAUUCAGACCUGGAUCCUGGAACAUGCUCAGUUCAAGAUUUCUCUUAGAAGUGCAUUCAACUCCCAUUGAUUCAGUGUUGCGGGUUCUCUGCACCUCAGAGUGGGAGGUCUCAAGUUUGUAUUACAAAGACCAUUUUGGUUUGGAAGACAUUUUUGGCCUGGCACAAUAAUUUAGUUUUAUUUUAUGUGGGCUUAUCUUGUGAGAUUUUAUCUGCUUAGCUCACUGAUUCACUCUUUUAUAGGUCUGAUACUGCUGUUGUUUCACAGCCUGGAAUACUAUGGCUGAAACAUAUUAUAAAAUUAAAUGUAUUAUUGACCUGCUGUAUUUCUUUUUCUUUGUUCAAAUUACCUGUAUAG